GAGAUGGUUGAUUCUGACAGUGAGCAGAGUUUGGUUUGUGUAACAAGAGCAUUGUUUUGCUCUAGAUUUUACUAAUUACCUAUUUAAAAUAAAACAUAGCAAAAGAGUUAAGAAUCAUUUUCAGACAAAGUAAAACAACUCACGCUUCUAUUAUGCCUCUUUGGUAUCUGUUUGGCAGCUUACAGCUGUGAAAAUCAGCUCGUGGUGAGCAGGAGCUGCUGCUCUGGACUACCCUGCUCAGCAGCUUUAGUCAUGGAAACGGCUGGGAGCAGCACAACCCAGCUGCCUUGUUAGCGUGAGGAGCUGCCUCCUCCUAUACAGCAGGCAGAGAAGUCAAGGCACAGCGUGCCUCCAGCUGCUCCAAGCCCCAGGCCAUGUCACUAGCACGCCUGGGGAUGUGGUGCACCACCUGAAUCUGGCCUGUGCAUGACCGACCGAGCAGAACCUCUGAAGUCUCAAGUCAGUCUGUUUGGAGGCAUCGCCUGUGAUGAGUGGCAUCAAGAAACACUGACUCAGUGAAGUCAUGGAACAAUAAUGAAGGUUAACUGUCCAAAGCACAACAAAGGAUGAGAAAACGGCAUUUUCAGAGCACCCCAGGUGGUUGAAUCUUCUGGGAAAGAAACAUUUCACUGGGAACUUUGAAUUCAAGUUUUCCUAUGAACUGCCACCAAUAUGGUUUGAGUACCUUUGUGUGCUGAUGCAAUUUUCUCAGUGUGUUUCAGAAAAUUCAUCACCUUGUAUUGUUUCAGAUGAAUAUGUCAAGAACUUAUCAACAUUCUUGAAUCUGUUUUCCAGUAUAUUGCUUUGUGUUGGAAUUUGUCAGCAUCACUGGCAACUGCUUAAGACGAUCAUAAAGGAGUUGCAAUUUUGUGGACGUGGUUAAUUUUGGCACAAUUGUUAUUCCUAUGGCUGCCAUCAGAUACUGGGAGACUGAGGCAAGCAGAGAGAGAGUCACAUUCUGACAAGAGGAAGCAGCUCCUCUGCUCGCAGCCUGGCACUGGGCCCACACCAGUUACUUUGCAAAGGCUGUGCAGAGUGACUUCCAACACCCGCUGACCUGGCUGUGAGGCUUAACAGAUGUGACAGAACUGAAGCAUGGAAAGUCUGUCCGUGGGAGGAACAUAUCAGCUAUCUUGAGACGUGAGAUGCCAACAGCUAUGAACCUCACUCCUCAUCUGAUACCUGUCUUCAGAACAGCAUGUGAAAGCAGAUGAAAGUAUUUAAGGUAGAGUUCUUUUAACUACACCGAGUAUUAAUGAACAUAUAUUCAGAGAGCGAUAGAAGGAAGAGCAAGAAAAACAGCUGUUGGAGAAAACAAAUGAUGAAUAGGAAGAAAAGUGGAUGAUGCCCCCUUUGAAUAGACUCUACUCAGAAGGGCCAGUAAAAUUCUCAAAGUAAAGAGUAACCAAUAUUGUGGCUCUCGAAUUCUUCAAGACGUUCUUGAAGCCCUUGUGCUCAAAUGCAAUUUCUACAAUGAAUGUCAGUUAAAGAAUUACGUACGGAAGUGUGAGAUGUCGAUCUUGUCAGUAAAAUCUCACAAUUUCUGUGUGCAGCAGAGCAUGAUUUUGGAUAUCAUCAGCAAAGAAUGUGAGCUUCUCCCAAGAGUGACCAUGGAUGAGAAAGUCCUGCAGAACCAGUGUGUACGUGCUGCUUCUUUUCCCAGAGAUCUGUCACUUUUCUGCAUUGGCAGUUGCAGUUUCAUUAUGAAAAUACAUAGACAGUACCCCAAGAUGGAUAUCUGAAGAAACUGCAGAGAAUGCAGG